UACACAUGCAAGUCGAACGAAGUUAGGAAGCUUGCUUCUGAUACUUAGUGGCGGACGGGUGAGUAAUGCUUAGGAAUCUGCCUAGUAGUGGGGGAUAACUUGGGGAAACCCAAGCUAAUACCGCAUACGACCUACGGGUGAAAGGGGGCUUUUAGCUCUCGCUAUUAGAUGAGCCUAAGUCGGAUUAGCUGGUUGGUGGGGUAAAGGCCUACCAAGGCGACGAUCUGUAGCUGGUCUGAGAGGAUGAUCAGCCACACUGGGACUGAGACACGGCCCAGACUCCUACGGGAGGCAGCAGUGGGGAAUAUUGGACAAUGGGCGAAAGCCUGAUCCAGCCAUGCCGCGUGUGCGAAGAAGGCCUUUUGGUUGUAAAGCACUUUAAGUGGGGAGGAAAAGCUUAUGGUUAAUACCCAUAAGCCCUGACGUUACCCACAGAAUAAGCACCGGCUAACUCUGUGCCAGCAGCCGCGGUAAUACAGAGGGUGCAAGCGUUAAUCGGAAUUACUGGGCGUAAAGCGCGCGUAGGUGGUUAUUUAAGUCAGAUGUGAAAGCCCCGGGCUUAACCUGGGAACUGCAUCUGAUACUGGAUAACUAGAGUAGGUGAGAGGGGAGUAGAAUUCCAGGUGUAGCGGUGAAAUGCGUAGAGAUCUGGAGGAAUACCGAUGGCGAAGGCAGCUCCCUGGCAUCAUACUGACACUGAGGUGCGAAAGCGUGGGUAGCAAACAGGAUUAGAUA
rnacentral:rRNA from 1 species